UACCCAAGAUUCAUGGACUUGAAAGUUGGUGGUUCAGCUAGGUACUUGGUUACAAAAAGCCAGAUAUUGUUGGCUAACAGUAAUUACAAUGACGCUUUGUACAAUUCUAACUUUGUUUCUUUUUUUCGGGGCUUUGGAGUCGUUUAAAUGCGCGAUUGAAUGUCAAUGACAUUUCCAGGACUGUUUUAAACUACCGGCGAUGACGUUAUCGCGUAGUUUACACAGGCUAACGUUACACAGACAAAUUGUCCUGUGAGAGAUGACGGUGGUGUGUUGUUACUGAGAAGUGUGAACCUGAGAUAAUAUUUAAAGUAAUAAACAGAACUGCUUGAUAAAUAAAGAGCAAGGCCAACGCCAUCAAAACGCCUAGAGCUACAGCUACUAGCCACAAGAAGGCCAAAGUCUGUUUCCACGGAGACCAAGAGAAUCGCCCACAGGAGGAUAAGGAGCUGGCCGCUAUUGGCCCCUGACGCGAUGAUGUCACCACCCCUGGGGACCUCUUCACUACUGCUGCACUGGUCCAGGAGCAUAAUGAUGAUGUCACAGGCUGACUCUCACGCCAUUGACCAUGCCAGCUGGAUGACUCACCCAGGAAAGGGAGGCCUCUCUGUGUACCUGAACAGUGAAGAGGAAAAUCUGCUACUGAGGGGAAAAAGGACGAUGAUCUUGGCACAC